CAUCCUCUGUCUUGACGUGAUCUCACUCGUCAGUUCACCGAGUAGAUAUCGGCUUGUUGGGAUGCCUCUCAACAGAGGAGCCCCCAGCAUGGACCAGAACAUUCCAGAAGCGGUCCGAGCAGUGCAGUGAGAGUCUGGGUGACUGAAUCUGAGAAAGUCACGGCCGGAUUUCCUGUUUAGCUUUCUGAAAGCCUCUUCCCAGCCUCGAGAGACCACCUGCUCCAGGAAGCCUGCCCUGAUUCCUUCCUCAGAGUUCCCCCUGGACUUCACGUGGGCUCCUCCUGGGGCACAGGUCACUAUUUGUUGUAUGUUAUCACUAGGUCCUUUUUAUACAUGAACUAUGGAAGCAGUAUGAUGAAACCAGAAGAACAACUACAAAUUUAGACAUCUUUACGAUGUUGUCU